CACGUAGGGCGCAAGCGUUGUUCGGAAUUACUGGGCGUAAAGCGCGUGUAGGCUGUUCGGAAAGUCGGGUGUGAAAGCCCUGGGCUCAACCUAGGAAGUGCACUCGAAACUCCCGAACUGGAGUCCCGGAGAGGAAGGUGGAAUUCUCGGUGUAGAGGUGAAAUUCGUAGAUAUCGAGAGGAACAUCGGUGGCGAAGGCGGCCUUCUGGACGGUGACUGACGCUGAGACGCGAAAGCGUGGGGAGCAAACAGG
rnacentral:rRNA from 1 species